GACGAACGCUGGCGGCGUGCCUAAUACAUGCAAGUAGAACGCUGAAGGAGGAGCUUGCUCUUCUGGAUGAGUUGCGAACGGGUGAGUAACGCGUAGGUAACUUGCCUGGUAGCGGGGGAUAACUAUUGGAAACGAUAGCUAAUACCGCAUAAGAGUAGAUGUUGCAUGACAUUUACUUAAAAGGUGCAAUUGCAUCACUACCAGAUGGACCUGCGUUGUAUUAGCUAGUUGGUGGGGUAACGGCUUACCAAGGCGACGAUACAUAGCCGACCUGAGAGGGGGAUCGGCCACACUGGGACUGAGACACGGCCCAGACUCCUGCGGGAGGCAGCAGUAGGGAAUCGUCGGCAAUGGACGGAAGUCUGACCGAGCAACGCCGCGUGAGUGAAGAAGGUUUUCGGAUCGUAAAGCUCUGUUGUAAGAGAAGAGCGAGUGUGAGAGUGGAAAGUUCACACUGUGACGGUAUCUUACCAGAAAGGGACGGCUAACUACGUG
rnacentral:rRNA from 1 species